CCUACCUGGUUGAUCCUGCCAGUAGUGAUAUGCUUGUUCAAAGACUAAGCCAUGCAUGUGUAAGCACUUGCGGGCUUUCGCGACACCGCGAAUGGCUCAUUAUAUCGGUUGUGGUUUACGUGUGCGAGCACUGACUCGACUUGGAUAACUGUGGUAAUUCCAGAGCUAAUACAUGCACCUUAUAUCCCGAUGGCGUGUCCCGUGGAGUCGUAGUUCUCGCUCUCAGCCUGGUGCUGGAGCGCCCUGCGUUCGUCCUGUCGGGCUCGCUCUGACGGAUGCUUUUAUUAGACCAAACCGCUGGGGAUGUUUGCCACGACCGGCAUGUCGUGGCGGCGUCCAGCUCGUGUUGUGGUGACUCUGGAUAACCUUUGCCGAGCGCACGUACACCUCUUUAGAGUGUGACGGCGCUGGCACGUUCAAGCAUCUGCCUUAUCAGCUGUCAACCGUUAGUUAUGUGCUAACGAUGGCUUUGACGGGUAACGGAGAAUCAGGGUUCGAUUCCGGAGAGGCAGCCUGAGAGACGGCUACCACGUCCAAGGACGGCAGCAGGCACGCAAAUUACCCAAUCCCAGCAACUGGGGGAGGUAGUGACGAAGUUUAACGAUGCGGGCGUUCCUUUUGGGGCCUCGCAAUCGGAAUGAGCACGACUAUUAUCCUACAUAACCUGCAGAGAACCUACUGAAGGGCAAGUCUGGUGCCAGCAGCCGCGGUAAUUCCAGCUUCAGUGGCGUCUAUUAAAGUUGCUGCGGUUAAAAUGCUCGCAGUUGAAGUUGUGUGGCGUGCGUAGGUGAGGUGGACGAUGCGGUCGGAGUACCCGAUGGUUGACGGUCAGCACGCUUGCAUCACCGUCAGCAUGAGCGGAGUGCUUGCACUGGUCUGGCUUAGUUCGGCCUCGGUGUUACUGGCGUACCGCCGUCCGUUACAAGCCUCCUCGCACGGUCUCGUACGAGAAUCUGGACACGAAAGAUGGUGAAACGCAGCCUAUGAGCCCAUGUCAAUGUUUAGCUUUGCACGCGGUUGGGCCUGAGCUUGUCCUUUGUGCGUCUCUCGCAUAGCUUGACUUGCAUGCGUUGAGCACCUCCACACUGGGGGCCAGGUUUCACAUUGCAUUGCGACACGGCGCGGCCAUGUUGUGCUGCACUGGGUUUUGUGGUACCUUGAGCAAAUCAGAGUGCUCAAAGCAGUUGUAGGGGUGGGUGGUUUACCGCCUGCCCCGAGACAAGUCGCACUGACUUGGUAUUGCAUGGUAUGUCGAAAGACGACGUCGUGUGCUGGCUCCGAGUUAACUCAACCGGUGGUACAGCCAGCCUCGACGUAAUGAUUAAAAGGGACGGUCGAGGGCAUUGGUAUUGCGAGGCGAGAGGUGAAAUUCUGUGACCCCCGCAAGACCACCAGAAGCGAAAGCGUCUGCCAAGGACGUUUUCAUUAAUCAUGAACGAAAGUUAGAGGAUCGAAGGCGAUCAGAUACCGCCCUAGUUCUAACCCUAAACGAUACCAACCAUCAAUCCGUGCGCAGCACCCUCAUUAACGGGCUCGGCGGGCAGCUCCCCCUCACGGGAAACCAGAGUCUCUGGGUUCCGGGGGGAGUAUGGUUGCAAAGCUGAAACUUAAAGGAAUUGACGGAAAGGCACCACCAGGCGUGGAGCCUGCGGCUUAAUUUGACUCAACACGGGCCAUCUCACCAGGCCAGCACUCUGGCACGAUUGACAGAUUGAGAGCUCUUUCUCGAUUCAGUGGGUGGUGGUGCAUGGCCGUUCUUAGUUGGUGGAGUGAUCUGUCUGGUUAAUUCCGAUAACGAACGAGACUCCCGCCUGCUAACUAGUCGGUUGGAUCUUGACAGAGAGUUGCUAGGCCCGCUGUCCAUGUGCCGCCACCUUCUCGGAUUGUUCGGGGCAGGGGGUCGUUCACUCCCCUCUGUUCUCGUCGUCUGGGUAAGGCCUGAGGUGACGCAGCGGUGUUCCACGGCACUCCAAGUCCUCCGCUCCGUUAAAGCUCUUCUUAGAGGGAUUUACGGCUCUGAAGCCGUCAGAGACUGAGAGCAAUAACAGGUCUGUAAUGCCCUUAGAUGUUCUGGGCCGCACGCGCGCUACAAUGCCGGGUUCAGCAGGUGUGUCUCCUGCUCCGAGAGGAGCGGGGAACCCUCUGAAAGCCCUGAGUAGCCAGUACGUGGGUUAUUCUCACGGAAAUGGCUGAUGGCGUGCUUGGGCCUGGGACUUGAAAUUGUUUCCCACAAACGAGGAAUGCCUAGUAGCGGCGGGUCACUGAGCCCGCAGUGACUCAGUCCCUGCCCUUUGUACACACCGCCCGUCGCUACUACCGAUUGGGUGUACCAGUGAGAGCCUUGACUGGCGUCCAUCAUAUGUUUGAAAGCGGUGAUCUGGGUCUGACGGAAAGAGGUUCGAACUGGUGCACCUAGAGGAAGUAAAAGUCGUAACAAGGUUUCCGUAGUGAACCUGCGGAAGGAUCAUUA
rnacentral:rRNA from 1 species